rnacentral:lncRNA from 1 species
CUCGACGUGCGUGCCCCCUUCAUUAGGGUUCCUCCUUUCCCCAUCUACCACCACCACUCCUUCUCCCUUCUCUCUUCCCCCCCCCCUAGGUAAGAUCUGUAGCUUCUGGCAGAGAGAGAGAGUAGUGACCCACCAGCGUCUACCCCUGCAUCCGUCGUCGUCCGGCGCCGCCGCCAUGUCCAAGGGCUCGGGGGAGCACCCUACGCUCCAUUCCCGACCUUGGUGAGGCCGGGGAACGACCACGUCGACGGCCAGCUCUUCGUCACCUAUGUGUCCCCGAUGAUCUCCCUCCUUGUACCACUACUUCGGUCUGCAGCAGGACUUCGUCAGAUCACCGUCGAUCCUCUCCAAGCUCCUUCUCCAAGCAGAUCGGAGCCUCUGCUUCCCUCCCUAGGUGAGGGCAAGCCUAUCCUCCCUCCUUCCCCAUCGGUAGAUGCGUGUAGGAGUUCAGGACGGCGAU